CAGUAGCCGCGGGAAUACGAAGGGUGCAAGCGUUACUCGGAAUUACUGGGCGUAAAGCGUGCGUAGGUGGUGGUUUAAGUCCGUUGUGAAAGCCCUGGGCUCAACCUGGGAAUUGCAGUGGAUACUGGGUCACUAGAGUGUGGUAGAGGAUAGUGGAAUUUCCGGUGUAGCAGUGAAAUGCGUAGAGAUCGGAAGGAACAUCUGUGGCGAAGGCGACUAUCUGGGCCAACACUGACACUGAGGCACGAAAGCGUGGGGAGCAAACAGGAUUAGAUACCCCAGUAGUCCCUGUCUCUUAUAA
rnacentral:rRNA from 1 species